CCUACGGGGGACAGCAGUGGGAAGACUGCGCAAGGGGCGAAAGCCGGACGCAGCGACGCCGCGUGAGGGAGGAAGGGCUUCGGAUCGUAAACCUCUGUAAGCAGGGAAGAACGGUCACUGUGCUAAUCAGCAGUGAAGUGACGGUACCAGCAAAGGAAGCACCGGCUAACUCCGUGCCAGCAGCCGCGGUAAUACGGAGGGUGCGAGCGGUAAUCGGAAUUACUGGGCGUAAAGCGCUCGUAGGCGGUAUGUCAAGGCAAGGGUGAAAUCCCCGCGCUCAACGUGGGAACUGCCUUUGAAACUGGCAACCUGGAGUGUGCGAGAGGAUAGUGGAAUUCCAGGUGUAGGCGUGCAAUCCGUAGAUCUC
rnacentral:rRNA from 1 species